rnacentral:rRNA from 1 species
UACCAGCACCCCGAGUGGUCGGGACGAUUAUUGGGCCUAAAGCAUCCGUAGCCGGUUUUACAAGUCCUCCGUUAAAUCCAGCUGCUUAACAGAUGGGCUGCGGAGGAUACUAUAAGACUAGGAGGCAGGAGAGGCAAGCGGUACUCAGUGGGUAGGGGUAAAAUCCGUUGACCCAUUGAAGACCACCAGUGGCGAAGGCGGCUUGCCAGAAUGCGCUCGACGGUGAGGGAUGAAAGCUGGGGGAGCAAACCGG